rnacentral:rRNA from 1 species
GUGAGGAAUAUUGGUCAAUGGGCGAGAGCCUGAACCAGCCAAGUCGCGUGAAGGAUGAAGGUUUUAUGAAUUGUAAACUUCUUUUGCAGGGGAAUAAAGUACGGUACGUGUACCGUUUUGUAUGUACUCUGCGAAUAAGGAUCGGCUAACUCCGUGCCAGCAGCCGCGGUAAUACGGAGGAUCCAAGCGUUAUCCGGAUUUGUUGGGUUUAAAGGGUGCGCAGGCGGGUUGAUAAGUCAGCGGUGAAAGUUUGCAGCUUAACUGUAAAAUUGCAGUUGAAACUGUCGAUCUUGAGUGCAAAUGAGGUAAGCGGAAUGUGUUGUGUAGCGGUGAAAUGCUUAGAUAUAACACAGAACUCCGAUUGCGAAGGCAGCUUACUAAGCUACAACUGACACUGAAGCAAGAAAGCGUGGGGAUCAAACAGGAUUAGAAACCCCUGUAGUCC